GUCAUCCUCGUCAUCUUUUUUGCCAAAUCGGGCCCUCAAAACGCGGCUGAUGGAACUCACUAAUGGCAACAAAAAGAAUGGUACAAAAAUGGCACAGGAAAAGUUUUCACAUGAAGCAGCAGCGUUUGGAGAAAAAUAUUCAUCACAAGGGAGCAAAUGUUAUGAACUGACGGAGCACUGAAGCCACAUUUCAACAGGACAUGUACAUACCACCACUCACCCUGGGCUUGCUGCCCCCUAUAGCCCCCGGACGGAUCGAGCCAGUCUCCUGGUACCGGCACAGAAUCUUGG